rnacentral:piRNA from 1 species
UGGGCUUCAGGGAAAUGAACUAGUUGGU